CCUACGGGAGGCAGCAGUGGGGAAUAUUGGGCAAUGGGCGAAAGCCUGACCCAGCAACGCCGCGUGAAGGAAGAAGGCUUUCGGGUUGUAAACUUCUUUUGACAGGGAAGAGUAGAAGACGGUACCUGACGAAUAAGCCACGGCUAACUACGUGCCAGCAGCCGCGGUAAUACGUAGGUGGCAAGCGUUGUCCGGAUUUACUGGGUGUAAAGGGCGUGUAGCCGGGUUGACAAGUCAGAUGUGAAAUCCUGCGGCUUAACCGCAGAACUGCAUUUGAAACUGUUGAUCUUGAGUACUGGAGAGGCAGACGGAAUUCCUAGUGUAGCGGUGAAAUGCGUAGAUAUUAGGAGGAACACCAGUGGCGAAGGCGGUCUGCUGGACAGCAACUGACGGUGAGGCGCGAAAGCGUGGGGAGCAAACAGGAUUAGAUACCCCAGUAGUC
rnacentral:rRNA from 1 species